GAUGAAGAACGUAGCGAAAUGCGAUAAGUAAUGUGAAUUGCAGAAUUCAGUGAAUCAUCGAAUCUUUGAACGCACAUUGCGCCCGGCAGUACUCUGCCGGGCAUGCCUGUUCGAGCGUCAUUUCAACCCUCAAGCCCUGCUUGGUGUUGGGGUCCCACGGCCGCCGUGGGCCCUGAAAGGAAGUGGCGGGCUCGCUACAACUCCGAGCGUAGUAAUUCAUUAUCUCGCUUAGGGCGUUGGGCGGCGCUCCUGCCGUUAAAGAACCAUCUUUAACUCAAGGUUGACCUCGGAUCAGGUAGGAAUACCCACUGAACUUAAGCAUAUCAAUAAGCGGAGGA
rnacentral:misc_RNA from 1 species